AGCGAACGCUGGCGGCAGGCCUAACACAUGCAAGUCGAACGAACCUUUCGGGGUUAGUGGCGGACGGGUGAGAAACACGUGGGAACGUGCCUUUAGGUUCGGAAUAACUCAGGGAAACUUGUGCUAAUACCGAAUGUGCCCUUCGGGGGAAAGAUUAAUCGCCUUUAGAGCGGCCCGCGUCUGAUUAGCUAGUUGGUUGAGGUAAUGGCUCACCAAGGCGACGAUCAGUAGCUGGUCUGAGAGGAUGAUCAGCCACAUUGGGACUGAGACACGGCCCAAACUCCUACGGGAGGCAGCAGUGGGGAAUCUUGCGCAAUGGGCGAAAGCCUGACGCAGCCAUGCCGCGUGAAUGAUGAAGGUCUUAGGAUUGUAAAAUUCUUUCACCGGGGACGAUAAUGACGGUACCCGGAGAAGAAGCCCCGGCUAACUUCGU
rnacentral:rRNA from 1 species